rnacentral:sRNA from 1 species
CGCAGGGAGCCUGGCCACAUGGGAGGGGUGUGGUCCGGAACUCCAACCCCAGGUCCUGCUUGGCCGCCCCUCCCGCGGCUACGCACUACUCCAUCUACUGCUGGCUUGCCCCGGGUCCUUAAGCCAGCGACAGUUUUUAUUGCCGAACCCAGGCUGGAGGCGGGCGGCCCUAGGAGCCGCGCACAACAGCGCAAGCGGGCUGGAUACCGGGAGCCGAUUCCAGGGCGCCCACAGAAGCAGAAUCAGAGGGGUUGCUCACACCCGAGAUGUGAGGUUCCAGGAGCGCCGACCCAGAGUUGCCAGGCCUGAAGGCGGGAGAGGCUCAGUCGCACCCUACAUUUCCCACCUCCAAGAUUUUAAGUAUAGUUCGCUUGAAAUCCCUGGAAUGCGCUUUCUUCUGGCUCCUACCCGGAGAUCCGGAGUCCGGACAAACCGGGGCAGGAAGGGUCCGUCGGACCAGCGCCUCCCAAGCCGAGGCUUCCAGGUCUCGGCCGGGCUCUUCUCCCUGCUUUUAGCUGAGCCGGGCUGGACGUGCCUCUCUCCUCCAUCUAGAGCAGGGUGUGAAGAGGAAGCCAGAGGGGGCUGUCUGAAAAUGACCCUGACCCCCUCCUCGGGCUGUCGUGAGGAGGAGGGCCGCUUCGCCCGGCUGCUCGUCAUCGCGAAGGCUCCAAAGAAGGGUUGCGCAGCCGUGCUGGUAUAACCGAGGGUGUCCUGGCGAAGCCCAGCCCCUGGCGCCCUGGUGACCGGGGGGGUCGAUGUGCGGACUGGGCAGAACUGGAGCCCGAAGCUGGAGAGCGCCCCUCAAAAAGAAGCCUGGAAGCCCGAGAGAUGAACCCGACUCAGAGAGGGCCAAGACUGCAGACCUUGGGGACCGAGGACACCCUCACCACGCUGGUGGGGGCUGGGGGGAUGGCGCGGGCGGUGGCGUGCGGGGAAGCGCCUGGGGAACACCUGGCUCUGCAAGUUUUGUGCCUUAGCGGAAAGAGGCGACAUCUCUGGCAAGUUGGGAGUACAGGAAGUAGCGAAGGAGUGCCAUCUGGUGGAUCCUUCUGGUAGUGACACUCAGACCUGGGCCAGGGGCCUUGAGACAAUUUACUUGACUGGAAAAAUCUGAAUAAAAAAAAGAUGCUUCAA